rnacentral:rRNA from 1 species
ACUCCUACGGGAGGCAGCAGUGAGGAAUAUUGGUCAAUGGGCGCAAGCCUGAACCAGCCAUGCCGCGUGCAGGAUGACGGUCCUAUGGAUUGUAAACUGCUUUUGUACGGGAAGAAACACUCCUUCGUGAAGGAGCUUGACGGUACCGUAAGAAUAAGGAUCGGCUAACUCCGUGCCAGCAGCCGCGGUAAUACGGAGGAUCCAAGCGUUAUCCGGAAUCAUUGGGUUUAAAGGGUCCGUAGGUGGAUGAUUAAGUCAGAGGUGAAAUCCUGCAGCUCAACUGUAGAAUUGCCUUUGAUACUGGUUGUCUUGAAUUAUUGUGAAGUAGUUAGAAUAUGUGGUGUAGCGGUGAAAUGCAUAGAUAUCACAUAGAAUACCGAUUGCGAAGGCAGAUUACUAACAAUACAUUGACACUGAUGGACGAAAGCGUGGGGAGCGAACAGGAUUAGAUACCCUGGUAGGAUAGCGU